rnacentral:rRNA from 1 species
GAUGAACGCUGGCGGCGUGCCUAACACAUGCAAGUCGAACGAAGCACUUUAGCUUGAUUCUUCGGAUGAAGGCUAUUGUGACUGAGUGGCGGACGGGUGAGUAACGCGUGGGUAACCUGCCUCAUACAGGGGGAUAACAGUUAGAAAUGACUGCUAAUACCGCAUAAGACCACGGAGUCGCAUGACUCAGUGGGAAAAACUCUGGUGGUAUGAGAUGGACCCGCGUCUGAUGAGGUAGUGGGUGGGGGAACGGCCUACCAAGCCGACGAUCACUAGCCGACCUGGGAGGGUGACCGGCCACAUGGGGACUGAGACACGGCCCAAACUCCUACGGGAGGCAGCAGUGGGGAAUAUUGCACAAUGGGGGAAACCCUGAUGCAGCGACGCCGCGUGAGCGAAGAAGUAUUUCGGUAUGUAAAGCUCUAUCAGCAGGGAAGAAAAUGACGGUACCUGACUAAGAAGCACCGGCUAAAUACGUGCCAGCAGCCGCAGUAA